GCUGGGCAUGGUGGCGCAUGCCUGUAAUCCCAGCUACUUGGGAGGCUGAGAUGAGAGAAUUGCUUGAACCCAGGAGGCGGAGGUUGCAGUGAGCCAAGAUCUCGCCACUGCAGUCCAGCAUGGGCGACAGAGUGAGACUCCAUCUCAA
rnacentral:SRP_RNA from 1 species